rnacentral:lncRNA from 1 species
AGAGAGAGAGAGAGAGAGGAGAGGCGGGCGGUGGAGGUGGGGGAGGAGCUGCGGGGUUAUUUAUAAUUUAUAGGUGCCGCGUCUCUUUUGCUUACAAUCUACAGCAGAGUCUUCGUUCUCCUUUUUUCAUUUUCUUUUCUUUUCUUUUCUUUUUUCCUUCCCUCUUCGUGUGCGCUCGCUUGGUUUUAUUGCCGUUUUCG